rnacentral:rRNA from 1 species
UACGUAGGGGGCAAGCGUUGUCCGGAAUCAUUGGGCGUAAAGAGCGUGUAGGCGGCUCGAUAAGUCUGCUGUGAAAGUCCAGGGCUCAACCCUGGAAGGCCGGUGGAAACUGUCGGGCUAGAGUCCGGAAGAGGCGAGUGGAAUUCCCGGUGUAGCGGUGAAAUGCGCAGAUAUCAGGAGGAACACCAAUGGCGAAGGCAGCUCGCUGGGACGUGACUGACGCUGAGACGCGAAAGCGUGGGGAGCAAACAGG